rnacentral:rRNA from 1 species
GACGAACGCUGGCGGCGUGCUUAACACAUGCAAGUCGAACGAAGAGCGACGGAAGCUUGCUUCUAUCAAUCUUAGUGGCGAACGGGUGAGUAACGCGUAAUCAACCUGCCCUUCAGAGGGGGACAACAGUUGGAAACGACUGCUAAUACCGCAUACGAUCUAACCUCGGCAUCGAGGAUAGAUGAAAGGUGGCCUCUACAUGUAAGCUAUCACUGAAGGAGGGGAUUGCGUCUGAUUAGCUAGUUGGAGGGGUAACGGCCCACCAAGGCGAUGAUCAGUAGCCGGUCUGAGAGGAUGAACGGCCACAUUGGGACUGAGACACGGCCCAGACUCCUACGGGAGGCAGCAGUGGGGAAUCUUCCGCAAUGGACGAAAGUCUGACGGAGCAACGCCGCGUGAGUGAUGACGGCCUUCGGGUUGUAAAGCUCUGUUAAUCGGGACGAGAGGCCUUCUUGCGAAUAGUGAGAAGGAUUGACGGUACCGGAAUAGAAAGCCACGGCUAACUACGUG